CAAAAACAUCGCCUCCUGCAAUGCAGCCAAGUAUAGGAGGUCCAGCCUGCCCAGUGACUAUAAGUUCAACGGCCGCGGUAUUUUGACCGUGCAAAGGUAGCGCAAUCACUUGUCUUUUAAAUAGAGACCUGUAUGAAUGGCCAAACGAGGGCUUAACUGUCUCCCUUUUCAAGUCAGUGAAAUUGAUCUACCCGUGCAGAAGCGGGUAUAAUAAUACAAGACGAGAAGACCCUUUGGAGCUUAAGGUACAAAACUUAACCACGUCAAGCAACUUAAUGAAAAGCAAAAACCUUGUGAAAAAUGAGAUUUUACCUUCGGUUGGGGCGACCACGGAGAAAAAUAAAACCUCCAAGUGGAAUGGGACAAACUCCUAAAACCAAGAGAGACAUCUCUAAGCCACAGAACAUCUGACCAAACAUGAUCCGGCCUAACAAAGCCGAUCAACGAACCAAGUUACCCUAGGGAUAACAGCGCAAUCCCCUCCCAGAGUCCGUAUCGACGAGGGGGUUUACGACCUCGAUGUUGGAUCAGGACAUCCUAAUGGUGCAGCCGCUAUUAAGGGUUCGUUUGUUCAACGAUUAAAGUCCUACGUGAUCUGAG
rnacentral:rRNA from 1 species